GGGUGACAGGUGGUGCAUGGUUGUCGUCAGCUCGUGUCGUGAGAUGUUGGGUUAAGUCCCGCAACGAGCGCAACCCUCGACCUUAGUUGCCAGCAUUCAGUUGGGCACUCUAAGGUGACUGCCGGCUAAAAGUCGGAGGAAGGUGGGGAUGACGUCAAAUCAUCAUGCCCCUUAUGACCUGGGCUACACACGUGCUACAAUGGGCGGUACAAAGGGUCGCGAACCCGCGAGGGGGAGCCAAUCCCAAAAAGCCGCUCUCAGUUCGGAUUGCAGGCUGCAACUCGCCUGCAUGAAGCCGGAAUCGCUAGUAAUCGCGGAUCCAGCAUGCCGCGGUGAAUACGUUCCCGGGCCUU
rnacentral:rRNA from 1 species